GUCGUGAUUUAUAAAUAAAUGCAAAAUUUCCUCAUAAAGAAGACUUAUUGUUAAAAGUUCUUUGGCUCAGGCCGGAAAAGACCACGUAUCACUGAAUACUAUAGGGGCAUUUCAAAAACACGUAAUCGUUUCAUCAGCAUUCACCAAAUACGACCUGCAUGAGAAAAGUGAAUUCUUCGCCCAAAAUCGGAAAAUCGUCUGCUUCCCGCUGUGGAAUCUGCUUUCAACCGAGAGCCAUAAUAAGAUUUUGACCAUGGAGUCGUUCUCGGAUCUUGUUUGUUAAGUGAGAAGGGAAACAACAAAAUUCUAAAAGGAAUCACAAAUCUCUAUGGAAUUAAUGUUAGGAGGGAGAGAGUGAAGUGAAAAACUGAUCUUAUGGACGCUGACCUCAAUGCUGAUCCAGCAGAAGACAGAGUCAGGCCAGUACAUGGAUCAUGAUAACCAAACAAAGAAAACAAGAGAAGAACUAGAAAGUGGUAAAAAAGAAAAUCUAAUUUCAAAACAACCAUAAAACAAAGAAGCUGGA